CCACUGCCGAACACUGGUACCAACCUUCUACGAGAGGCAAGGUGGGGUUCGCUGUCUUGCCCAAGAACACUUGGACAUGCAAAGGCGAGAAUUUUAAUUUGCAAUUACUGUCAUGGGUCGGCCGCCCUACCGCAGCAUCACAGCCGCCAGUACUGCAAAAGUUUAAAAGAACAGUAAAAAUAUGUUAAUGUUCAAAUAUGAUCAGUAAAUUUUAUUUAGAUACUGGUUCAGAAUGAAGGUGUAAGAAAAAGAAGGACAUGAAGGGAGGAAACAGCAGUCCUGAUUUCCAAGAAAUUUGGACAAUCUUUCUUAUUGAAAUUGCACCAAAGCUUCACUUAAAGGGUGUUGGUACGACAAAAAAAAGUAAAUAUUUGAAAUGUACCUCAGUUUUGUAAGCUUUGGUUUCAUCCUCACCACGACAAACGCAGCCCAGAGAGAAACAUGAAACACCAUAGGAGCUAUAAGCAGUUUUAACAGCCUUCUUUAUGUGGUUUGACUCUGUUGAAUAGGUUUUAUAAGAAUAAAUGUAUAUGUAUUAAAAUUUCAACAAAGACCCAGAAGUCAUUUUGUUACUGAAAGACUGCCAAUAAGAUCAUCCGUGUUUGAUGUUGGUGAUUCCCAGUGUUUGUGCAGUAAAUAUAUUGCAUAUAGAGCAAUUAAAUCUGGCAGAGAAAACAACAUGAAAGACACUAUGAUGGGUUUUAAAUUUAAGAUCUUAUCUGUCAAAAUAAUUGUAGACUUGUAAACCAAUGUUGAUCUGACGUAAAGAGAAAGUUACGGGUGAGAAACAUUGAAGACAUUAAAUCUAUCCAAAGAUGACAUUUCAUACUAAGUAAACAAAAGUAAUAAAGAAAAUUCAACAAAUUUGACAUCUACUAAGUGGUUUGAUAUUUUCCAAAUAGACAAUGUCACGUGUCAUGAUGCUACCCAAAAUGAAUUAUUUGACUUUGUUCCACAAAAAAAAUUCUGUCAGGACUGAACAUUAGUUCUUAAUUUUGCACUGGAAUGCUGGCAUUACAGCUUUAACAUAAUCAAGGAGUCUCAUCUUGAUAAUGAUCAAGACUGUUAUUUUUGGAUUCAAACCAGCGUAGAGACCACAGAAAAAGAAUGUUCCACUUAACCGACCAAUCAAAAGCUGCGUCCCCUUCAGUGGAAAAUCUGCGUAACUCAAGCUAAAGCUGUGAACACAUCUGCUGUAAGAAACACCCGUACUCUUUACUGUUCAUGAUAACAUCACUCAUGGAUCCUCUGCACAUCAUUCUGCCUUUUUCUCUGGGGUAACUUGUUCUUUUACUAUCAGUCAUAGUUGAUUACGAUUAUUUUUUAACGACUUUACUGAAUGUUAUUUACAGUUAUGAAAGAAAUGAUUUUUUUAAUGUCAUCUGUCUUCCAGGAACAGUUUCCUGCAGUUUUGACUGGACUUCUGCAUCCGUGUCUGAGGUGACAGUCAGACAUGGAGACAACAUCACUCUCUAUUGUGACUGUAAAAUGGGAGACAGAGAACCGCCUGUGUAGUUCAGAAACUGUUUCAAUGAGAGCCAUCCUGUUCUUGUUCUAGAUAGAGUAUUUCUUUGCAAAUUUAGGGAAAACUCGGUUUAUAUGGACAAAUAAUGAUUCCUCUAAAUCCUACGACCUGACGAUCAUCAAUGUCACCUAUUCUGAUGAAGGUUUCUACUUUUGUGGAACUAAAGGAAAGAAGGUGGAAGACAAAGAAAAAAUUGAUAUAAAGAUGUGGUUUAAUUACAGCAACAUCAAGAGGAAACUUUCCAUCAGUGAGUAUUAUACCAAAGUGUUUUUUUUAUAUUGUUUCAUCUGAAAAUGCAAAUGUUAGGGAAAAAUAACAAUUUGGUCAAUUUACAUAGAUAUUCAUAUUUUCUGCUGUAACUCUCGUCAUGAUCUGAACCUUGAAUUUUCUUAUAAAUAUUCAUUUGUGAACAUUUUUUAAUACUAAUUUUAAAACGUUCCUUAAUUGUUUAAGAAACUGUAACAGCUUUUUUUUGUUUUCUAUCGAGAUUCCAACAGGCCUCAUAACUGUACCAGUGACAGUCAGCAGAACGAUGGUGUGUGCUGGAAGCUGCUCUUCUCUGUGUGUCCGAUCGUUUCUGUUCUCUCUGCUCUCCUUUCUGUUCUGGUUUACAGGAUUUGUCAGAAAUCAGCUACAUCUUCUCAAAAUUCUGGAAAAAAAGAAAACACAAGAAAUCUGACAAGACACACUCAAGAACAAUAAGGCCGUGCAGUAACAAAUUCCAGUCACUGAUGGAUACACACAUUCACAAGCUGACGGCGGCAGAGCUAUCGGGCGAGGUGCAGCUAGCCAGACCACCAGCAGCAAUGUGGGGUUCAGUGACUUUCCAAAAAACACUCUGACACAUGAACCUGCAACUUUAGAAGCAGAAGUCAAUCUUUUUUUUUACAUCUGUUUACGUUUAAAGUCCCAUUAGUUCAAGGUGUGUAAAAUUUGUUGACCCAUCUCAUUGGGGAGUGGUAAACUGCAAACCCAGCUGCGCUCGGAAACCCAUUGGUGGUUUAACCCUCCCAAUCCAAUCACUUAGUGCUGAGGGUCAAGCACUGGUUCCCAUUUUUAGAGUUUUUGGCAUGGAUUGGUGUGGAUUUGAAUUUAUCACCCUCCAGUUUCAGGCUGGGCAACAUUACCACAAGGCCACAGAGCUGGUUUACUAGAGUUUUGUAAUUUUAGGCCUAUGGAACAGGAAAAAGAAAAGGGAAAAACGUUUUUCACAGCUUAACAUGACAGGUUAAGUUACUGAAGAAGAGUAACUUGGACCCAAAGAUCAUGGACAAUUACAGACCUGUAUCCAACCUACCAUUUUUAGGAAAAAUUAUUGAAAAACUUGUUUUUAUUCAAUUACAUGAUUUUUUAAAUGAACAUAAUGUUCUUGAAAAGUGUCAGUCUGGUU